GCCUGGGUGGCUCAGUAGGUUAAGCGUCUGACUUUGGCUCAGGUCAUAAUCUCACGGUUCGUGAGUUCUAGCCCCUCAUCAGGCU
rnacentral:tRNA from 1 species